GUCGCUCCUACCGAUUGAAUGAUCCGGUGAAGUACUCGGAUCGCGGCGACGUGGGUGGUUCGCCGUCCGCGACGUCGCGAGAAGUUUUCUAAACCUUAUCAUUUAGAGGAAGGAG
rnacentral:rRNA from 1 species